CGCUAUCACUCCUACGGGGAGGCAGCAGUGGGGAAUAUUGCACAAUGGGGGAAACCCUGAUGCAGCCAUGCCGCGUGUGUGAAGAAGGCCUUCGGGUUGUAAAGCACUUUCAGUAGGGAGGAAGGUAGUGUAGUUAACACCUGCAUUAUUUGACGUUACCUACAGAAGAAAGCACCGGCUAACUCCGUGCCAGCAGCCGCGGUAAUACGGAGGGUGCGAGCGUUAAUCGGAAUUACUGGGCGUAAAGCGCAUGCAGGCGGCCUGUUAAGUCAGAUGUGAAAGCCCGGGGCUUAACCUCGGAAUUGCAUUUGAAACUGGCAGGCUAGAGUCUUGUAGAGGGGGGUAGGAAUUUCAGGUGUAGCGGUGAAAUGCGUAGAGAUCUGAAGGAAUACCAGUGGCGAAGGCGGCCCCCUCGGACAAAGACUGACGCUCAGAUGCGAAAGCGUGGGGAGCAAACAGGAUUAGAUACCCUGGUAG
rnacentral:rRNA from 1 species